rnacentral:rRNA from 1 species
UACGUAGGGUGCAAGCGUUGUCCGGAAUUAUUGGGCGUAAAGAGCUCGUAGGCGGUUUGUCGCGUCGAAUGUGAAAACCCGGGGCUCAACCCCGGGCCUGCAGUCGAUACGGGCAAACUAGAGUGCGGUAGGGGAGACUGGAAUUCCUGGUGUAGCGGUGAAAAUGCGCAGAUAUCAGGAGGAACACCGGUGGCGAAGGCGGGGUCUCUGGGCCGUAAACUGACGCUGGAGGAGCGAAAGCGUGGGGAGCGAACAGG